AUGCGCGAGCACUAUGAUCUUUCGACCCCUGCCAACAUGCGGGACACCGAACCUGAAUGGAUCUUCCGUCUACUCGACAAGUUUCAUGAAGUGCAAAAGCUAGACUCAUUGAUGAUCAUGUGGGGGAUUUGGUACGUGCGGAAUGAGAUCACACAUAAUAAACCCCCUGUUCUGAUUGAAGCAUCGCGCCAAUUCUUAUCAAGCUACAUCACGUCCCUACUUGUCAUCAAACAAUAUCCAGCUGCCCACCUGCCGAAAGGGAAAUAUGUCAUUGACCUUAUUGGGAGUAUGCGUCGCACCACACAAGAAAUAUUUCCGAAGCCGCACUGGGUAGUACCUGAUGUAGACCAUGCCAAGCUCAACAUAUAUGGUGCGUUUGUGAAGGAAGAUGGCACGGCUGGAGCCGGGAUGAUCCUGCGUGAUCAUGAAGUGGAGAUGGACUGCGCUGGGUUGUUGCAAAUGAUUCAAUCAAGAGACGUUGAUAGAUCACAGUACGUGCUCCGUAUAAGAGAGACCAUAAAGAUUCUGAUUCAUGAAAGAAACAUUAGUCUAGCUAAGAUCAGUUGA
rnacentral:rRNA from 1 species